rnacentral:rRNA from 1 species
AUUGAACGCUGGCGGCAUGCUUUACACAUGCAAGUCGAACGGCAGCGCGGGGGCAACCCUGGCGGCGAGUGGCGAACGGGUGAGUAAUGCAUCGGAACGUAUCCUGUAAUGGGGGAUAACGUAGCGAAAGUUACGCUAAUACCGCAUACGCUCGAGAGAGGAAAGUGGGGGAUCGCAAGACCUCACGUUAUAGGAGCGGCCGAUGUCCGAUUAGCUAGUUGGUGGGGUAAAGGCCUACCAAGGCGACGAUCGGUAGCUGGUCUGAGAGGAUGAUCAGCCACACUGGGACUGAGACACGGCCCAGACUCCUACGGGAGGCAGCAGUGGGGAAUUUUGGACAAUGGGCGAAAGCCUGACCCAGCGACGCCGCGUGGAGGAAGAAGUCCUUCGGGGCGUAAACUCCUGGACUGGGGACGAGUAAGGACGGUACCCCAGUAGAAAGGGACGGCGUAACUACGUAGCCAGCAGCCGCGGUAAGGCUACGUAGA